rnacentral:rRNA from 1 species
UACAGAGGUCUCAAGCGUUGUUCGGAUUCAUUGGGCGUAAAGGGUGCGUAGGUGGCGCGCUAAGUCAGGUGUGAAAUUUCGGAGCUUAACUCCGAAACUGCAUUUGAUACUGGCGUGCUUGAGGACUGGAGAGGAGACUGGAAUUCAUGGUGUAGCAGUGAAAUGCGUAGAGAUCAUGAGGAAGACCAGUGGCGAAGGCGGGUCUCUGGACAGUUCCUGACACCGAGGCACGAAGGCCAGGGGAGCAAACGGG